UAUGAUCAAAUCACACUGAAAACAUUGGUUCUCAUUUGAUCACUGAAGUUAAGCAUUGUCAAGCCUGGAAAGUACUUAGAUGGGGAACUGCUUGGGAAUACUGAGUACUGUA